rnacentral:rRNA from 1 species
GAUGAACGCUGGCGGCGUGCCUAAUACAUGCAAGUCGAGCGAACGGACGAGAAGCUUGCUUCUCUGAUGUUAGCGGCGGACGGGUGAGUAACACGUGGAUAACCUACCUAUAAGACUGGGAUAACUUCGGGAAACCGGAUCUAAUACCGGAUAAUAUUUUGAACCGCAUGGUUCAAAAGUGAAAGACGGUCUUGCUGUCACUUAUAGAUGUAUCCGCGCUGCAUUAGCUAGUUGGUAAGGUAACGGCUUACCAAGGCAACGAUGCAUAGCCGACCUGAGAGGGUGAUCGGCCACACUGGAACUGAGACACGGUCCAGACUCCUACGGGAGGCAGCAGUAGGGAAUCUUCCGCAAUGGGCGAAAGCCUGACGGAGCAACGCCGCGUGAGUGAUGAAGGUCUUCGGAUCGUAAAACUCUGUUAUUAGGGAAGAACAUAUGUGUAAGUAACUGUGCACAUCUUGACGGUACCUAAUCAGAAAGCCACGGCUAACUACGUG